rnacentral:rRNA from 1 species
GAAAGAUGAAAAGCACUUUGAAAAGAGAGUUAAAAAGCACGUGAAAUUGUUGAAAGGGAAGCGCUUGCGACCAGACUCGCUCGCGGGGUUCAGCCGGCAUUCGUGCCGGUGUACUUCCCCGCGAGCGGGCCAACGUCGGUUUGGGCGGUCAGGUCAAAGGCCCCUGGAAGGUAACGCCCCCUCGGGGGCGUCUUAUAGCCAGGGGUGCAAUGUGGCCUGCC